CUUUCCAUUUAUUUGCUGCUAUCGUCUUUUCAAUGGUAUGAGCAGUUGUACAGAUGGGUAAAGUAACAUUAGGCCAUUAUAAAUUGAGAUGGAAUACUCAUUUCACCUCUUCUGCAUGCAUAGUCCAGACACUG